AAAUUGUAUAAAUCAGGAUUUGGACUUAAUAAACAUCCAGUUCAACUAAAUCUUAAAGAGUAUUCAAAAUUACACUUUUUUGGGGAGGUAUUUUAAGUUCAGCAUCAAGCUAAUUUUCAUCCACACAUAAACCUGAUAUCCAUUCAAUGAAUCUAUCUGACUAUAACAUCAAAAUCUACAUAUCAUGACACUAAAACCAACAUUAAAUUCAAAUGCCUCUUCAUUUCAAGUCCUCUGAUAUCCAAGUAUUACACUAAAUGGAAAAAACCAAAAAAAAAUACAUGCAUGCGGAA
rnacentral:misc_RNA from 1 species